UUGCAUUCGAGGCUUGUUUUAAGUUGCCUGCGACCUGUUUAAAGACUCAGGCAGCUAAAGCAAGUCUGGGACGCCA
rfam:Salmo salar isolate Sally breed double haploid chromosome ssa21, whole genome shotgun sequence.